AAUAGAUACCCCGGUAGUCCUAGCCGUAAACGAUGGACACUAGGUGUUGGUGGUAUCAACCCCACCAGUGCCGAAGCUAACGCAUUAAGUGUCCCGCCUGGGGAGUACGGCCGCAAGGCUAAACUCAAAGGAAUUGACGGGGCCCGCACAAGCAGCGGAGCGUGGGGUUUAAUUCGAUGCAACGCGAAGAACCUUACCAGGGCUUGACAUGACCAGGAAUCCGGCGGAAACGUCGGCGUCCCGCAAGGGACCUGGCCACAGGUGUUGCAUGGCUGUCGUCAGCUCGUGUCGUGAGAUGUUGGGUUAAGUCCCGCAACGAGCGCAACCCUAUCGUGUGUUGUAUCACUCACACGAGACUGCCGAGAGAAACUCGGAGGAAGGCGGGGAUGACGUCAAGUCAGCAUGGCCCUUACGUCCUGGGCUACACCCACGCUACAAUGGCCGGUACAACGGGCUGCGAAACCGCGAGGUGGAGCUAAUCCCUUAAAGCCGGUCUCAGUUCGGAUUGUAGGCUGCAACUCGCCUACAUGAAGCCGGAGUUG
rnacentral:rRNA from 1 species